rnacentral:sRNA from 1 species
GUGCUCGCUUUGGUAACACAUAUACUAAAACUGGAACAAUACAGAGAAGACUAGCAU